AUGCCCGGCCCCCAGCCUCACCUGGAGCCCCCCAGUCCCACCCAACGUGCCCACCCCCAUCCAGACACCGACCCCCUCCUCCCAUGCGCCCCUAUAGGGGUUGAUACAGACCCCCCCCCCGAUCGUUCAGCCCCGGGUUGGGGUCCCCCCCUCCUGGCUCUCACCAGGGCUGGUUCUCCAGCCACUCGCCCAGGACGCAGCGCAAAUUUCGGGGGAACUCCACGAAGAUUCCUCCGAAUUCCUCCGGCGCCAUCUGGGAUACGAUGCUCCAAAGGGACAUGGUGGGAAGCGUCACCUGCGGGGGGGGGCCGCUCGGAAGGGCCGGGCCGGGCCCGAGGCCCUCAGUACAUGGCGGUGCGGGCGCGGCCGGGCUGCGGGGUUGGCCCCGCUCCGGCGGAAAGCGCCGAGGCCAGGAAGGGGGAGGAGACGAACGGGGAGCACGGGGGGGGGGACAUGGGGGGGCGGCCCCGCGGCUCCCCGGUGCCGAACCGGGGGCAGCACCGCACGUCGGGUGACCUCGGGGCUGGGUCACGGUCCCCCAAGGGCCGCAAUACAAACACCGCCCCGCGGGGGGGCUCCACGCGCGACCCCCGGGCCCACAUCGGUGUUCCUGCUCCCGUUUGGCCUCAACAGACCCCGCUGCUGCCCCCCCCCCCCCAACAACAGGCCCCCCUUCAACCGCCGGGUUGUGCGGGGCUGCGGGGUCGGGAUGGACAUGGGGGGGGUGGGGAAGCAGCCCCCCCCACACUCAACCCGUUGCUGCGGGGUCCGUGCGGGGCCACCAGGGGCCGCUGCCGCCCCGUCGGUACCGCCAACUCCGGGGGGGCCGCCGGGACCGCGGCAGCCUGAGGAGCCCCGGAGCCCCCAAAGCGGCCCCUACCGGGAACGUCCGCACCCCCCCCCCAAUAUCUGGAGCGGUGAAGCCCCCCAUGCAGCCCCCCGAGCUGCUGCCCCCCCCCCCCCCCCCCCCCCCCCCCCCCCCCCCCCGGGGGGGGGGGGUUUUAAAAAAGAAGUAAGGGAGGCCCCGGGGGGGGGGGGGGGUGGUGGUCACGGGAUGGGGAGUGACGUCACGGCUUGGCUCUGACGUCAGAGCUGUGACAUCAUCACUGCAGGGGGGGCGGGAUGUGGGGAUACAGAACGUGAUGGAGGGGUGGGCUGGGGUCGGCUGCCCCCCUCGGAUCGGGGGGGGAACAACAGCACGACCCCGCACUGUGCCCCCUCCCCACCAUCCCCAUCCCACCCCCAUCCCACGCCCCUCCCAUCCCAUCCCCACACCAUCCCCAUACACUCACACCAUUCCCAACCUACAUCGUUCUCAUCCUAUACUGCAGCCAUGCCAUGCCCCUGCCCACCCCAUCCCCAUCAUGUACCUAUAGCAUACACACCCCAUCCCCAUCCCAUCCCCAUUAUAAACCUAAACCACACUCAUCCCAUACUUCCCCCGUACCCAUAACAUCCCCAUCUCAUACCCAUUCCAUAUCGACCCCAUACCCACACCAUGCCUAUAACAUACCCAUCCCAAUAGCAAUCCUAUACCCAUCCUAUAGCAAUCCUAUACCCAUCCCUAUCCAUCCCAUGCCCCUAUCCAUCCCAUCCCUAUAUCGACCCCUUCCCAUCCCCUUCCCACCUUCAUCCCACACCCCAACCUACAACAUAGUGCCCCAUACACCAUACCCACCCCAUACCCCCCCAUACCUACCCCUACCCCCAUCCAUACCCCCAUCCAGCCCCCCCAUAUCGACCCCUUCCCAUCCCAUUCCCACCUUCAUCCCACACCCCAACCUACAGCAUAGUGCCCCAUAACCCCCCCCACCCCCCCCCCCACACCCCCCCCCUCCCCCCUCCCCCC
ensembl:lncRNA